rnacentral:lncRNA from 1 species
CCUAGGCAUUUGAUUCUGUCUCACACGAGAGAAGGCAGGGGCAGACCAAGCAGAGCUCUUGUAUUUGAGUGAGAAGGGCAGGCUCCUGGAAUCACACAGCAUGUUGCAAGGGUUUCUUCUGAUGGCUACUUUCCUCCUUUCUCCAGAUCCAAUAUAUUCUAUUAAAGAACUCCCUGGGUUAGUGAUGCAUGAAGUGGUUUAUCCCAGAAGAAUUCAUCCACCACAUAAAAGAGAGGCCAAAAAUAUUAAGGCGCCACAUCAACAGGUACACCUUUUGAUUUAUCCAAGACUCUUGGUGUGUGUAUGUGUAUCAAAUGGACCUUGUGAAAUUCUCAGGUAU